CAUCAAGGAGCAGAAAGGGUCAGAAAUGAGCUGGAAGGGGCAGAAGGAGCACAAACGUAAAGUAGGAGAAUGAGCAGGAAGGGCCUGCGAGGAGCAGGAAGGAGCAGAAAGGGACAGCAAGGAGCACAAAGGUAAAGUAGGAGAAGGAGCACAAAGGAACAGAAAUGAACAGGAAGGGUCAGCAAGAAGCUGGAAGGUAAAGCAGCACAAAGGUAAAGUGGAAGAAGCAGAAAAGGUCAGAAAUUAGCUGGAAGGGGCAGAAGGAGCACAAACAUAAAGUAGGAGAAUGAGCAGGAAGGGCCUGCGAGGAGCAGGAAGGAGCAGAACGGGACAGCAAGGAGCACAAAGGUAAAGUAGAAAAAGGAGCAGAAAGGGUCUGCAAUGGAGCCGAAAGGGGUCAGAAUGAGAAAGGAGCAGAAGGGCGCAAAAUGAGCAGAAUGGGCAAAGGAUAGAAAACAGUGUCAGAAGAAAAAGAAGACUGUCAAAUGAAGGAGAGGAAAAGGAGAUUGGAGCAGGAAGGACAAAUGAAGUGAACCCUCCACUUUAUUCUGGACAUCACAUCAUAAGGUUUUGGUACCUGGGCCUGGCAGGGAAACUCUGGACCUUCUCAUCUCCAAAAGUAAAAAAAAAUUAUCAGUGUUAAUGUGUUCACUUUUAUUUACUGAGUGUCCGGAAGCACAGAGAGCCAUUGGGUAGGGGUGUUGCUGAUUGGCUAGAGCGGUCAGCUGGCACUCUAAGCCAAUCAGUAGCUCCCCAUUCCUAAAAAAGUAAAAAUAUUUUAUGAACCG